AGAGUUUGAUUCUGGCUCAGAACGAACGCUGGCGCGUGCUUAAUACAUGCAAGCCGAACGAGAAAGCCCGGCUUCGGUUGGGCAAGUAAAGUGGCGAACGGGUGAGUAACACGUGGACAAUCUGCCCUCGCAUCCGGGAUAAUCCUUCGAAAGGAGGCCUAAUACCGGAUUGUGUCCCCGGCCGGCAUCGGCUGGUGACGAAAGGCGGCGCAAGCUGCUGUGCGAGGAUGAGUCCGCGGUCCAUUAGCUAGUUGGCGGGGUCACAGCCCACCAAGGCGACGAUGGAUAGCCGGCCUGAGAGGGUGAUCGGCCACACUGGGACUGAGAUACGGCCCAGACUCCUACGGGAGGCAGCAGUAGGGAAUAUUGCGCAAUGGACGCAAGUCUGACGCAGCAACGCCGCGUGGGUGAUGACGUUUUUCGGAAUGUAAAACCCUGUCAGUGGGGAAGAACCGUAUCGGGAGUCACUGCCCGGUGCCUGACGGUACCCACAGAGGAAGUCCCGGCUAACUCCGUGCCAGCAGCCACGGUAAUACGGGGGGGACAAGCGUUGUUCGGAUUUACUGGGUGUAAAGGGCGCGUAGGCGGGCCGCAAAGUCGGCGGUGUCAUCCCCGGGCUUAACUGGGGGCUGCCGUCGAUACUGGCGGUCUUGAGUACAGGAGAGGAGAGUGGAAUUCCAGGUGUAGCGGUGAAAUGCGUAGAUAUCUGGAAGAACACCCGUUGCGAAGGCGGCUCUCUGGACUGCUACUGACGCUGAGGCGCGAAGGCUUGGGGAGCAAACAGGAUUAGAUACCCUGGUAGUCCAAGCGGUAAACGAUGGGUACUAGGUGUCGGGGGUCUCGACCCCCUCGGUGCCGCAGCUAACGCAUUAGGUACCCCACCUGGGGAGUACGAUCGCAAGAUUGAAACUCAAAGAAAUUGACGGGGGCCCGCACAAGCGGUGGAGUAUGUGGUUUAAUUCGAAGCAACGCGCAGAACCUUACCUGGGUUUGACAUGUACGGGACGGCCGGUGAAAGUCGGUUUCCUCUUCGGAGGUCCGUGCACAGGUGCUGCAUGGCUGUCGUCAGCUCGUGCCGUGAGGUGUUGGGUUAAGUCCCGCAACGAGCGCAACCCUCGCUCAUAGUUGCCAUCAGGUAAUGCUGGGCACUCUAUGGGGACUGCCGGUGACAAGCCGGAGGAAGGUGGGGAUGACGUCAUGUCCUCAUGGCCCUUACAUCCAGGGCUACACACGUACUACAAUGGCCGGUACAGAAG
rnacentral:rRNA from 1 species